rnacentral:rRNA from 1 species
CUACGGGAGGCUGCAGUGGGGAAUAUUGGACAAUGGGGGAAACCCUGAUCCAGCAAUGCCGCGUGUGUGAAGAAGGCCUGCGGGUUGUAAAGCACUUUCGGUUGGGAGGACUGCUUCUAGCACUAAUAUUGUUGGAAGUUGACGUUACCUUCAGAAGAAGCACCGACUAACUCCGUGCCAGCAGCCGCGGUAAUACGGAGGGUGCAAGCGUUAAUCGGAAUUACUGGGCGUAAAGCGCGCGUAGGCGGCUAGAUCAGUCGGGUGUGAAAGCCCCGGGCUUAACCUGGGAACUGCAUCCGAUACUGUCUAGCUUGAGUACAGGAGAGGAGGGUGGAAUUCCACAUGUAGCGGUGAAAUGCGUAGAUAUGUGGAGGAACACCAAUGGCGAAGGCAGCUCUCUGGCCUGAUACUGACGCUGAGGUGCGAAAGCGUGGGGAGCAGACAGGAUUAGAUACCCUAGUAGUC